AGUGAACGCUGGCGGUAGGCCUAACACAUGCAAGUCGAACGGCAGCACAGUAAGAGCUUGCUCUUACGGGUGGCGAGUGGCGGACGGGUGAGGAAUACAUCGGAAUCUACUUUUUCGUGGGGGAUAACGUAGGGAAACUUACGCUAAUACCGCAUACGACCUACGGGUGAAAGCAGGGGAUCUUCGGACCUUGCGCGAUUGAAUGAGCCGAUGUCGGAUUAGCUAGUUGGCGGGGUAAAGGCCCACCAAGGCGACGAUCCGUAGCUGGUCUGAGAGGAUGAUCAGCCACACUGGAACUGAGACACGGUCCAGACCCCUACGGGAGUCAGCAGUGCGCAAUAUUGGACAAUGGGCGCAAGCCUGAUCCAGCCAUACCGCGUGGGUGAAGAAGGCCUUCGGGUUGUAAAGCCCUUUUGUUGGGAAAGAAAAGCAGCAGGUUAAUACCCCGCUGUUCUGACGGUACCCAAAGAAUAAGCACCGGCUAACUUCGUG
rnacentral:rRNA from 1 species